GAUGAAGAACGUAGCGAAAUGCGAUAAGUAAUGUGAAUUGCAGAAUUCAGUGAAUCAUCGAGUCUUUGAACGCACAUUGCGCCCCCUGGUAUUCCGGGGGGCAUGCCUGUCCGAGCGUCAUUGCUGCCCUCAAGCACGGCUUGUGUGUUGGGCCCCGCCCCCCGGCUCCCGGGGGGCGGGCCCGAAAGGCAGCGGCGGCACCGCGUCCGGUCCUCGAGCGUAUGGGGCUUCGUCACCCGCUCCGUAGGCCCGGCCGGCGCCCGCCGGCGACCCCCCUCAAUCUUUUCAGGUUGACCUCUGAUCAGGUAGGGAUACCCGCUGAACUUAAGCAUAUCAAUAAGCGGAGGA
rnacentral:misc_RNA from 1 species